rnacentral:misc_RNA from 1 species
GAAAUGCGAUAAGUAAUGUGAAUUGCAGAAUUCAGUGAAUCAUCGAAUCUUUGAACGCACCUUGCGCUCCUUGGUAUUCCUUGGAGCAUGCCUGUUUGAGUAUCAUGAAAUCUUCAAAGUAAAUCUUUUGUUAACUCAAUUGGUUUCUACUUUGGUAUUGGAGGUCUUUGCAGCUUCACACCUGCUCCUCUUUGUUCAUUAGCUGGAUCUCAGUGUUAUGCUUGGUUCCACUCGGCGUGAUAAGUUAUCUAUCGCUGACGACACUGUAAAAGGUGGCCAAGGUAAAUGCAGAUGAACCGCUUCUAAUAGUCCAUUGACUUGGACAAUACUUUUAUGAUCUGAUCUCAAAUCAGGUAGGACUACCCGCUGAACUUAAGC